UUAGAGAAAUCUACAGAAGCCCUGAAAACCUGAAAACAUAUAUUUUUAAUAUGAUAUUUCUAAGUUUACUUUUUUGUCCAAAAAAACAUGUCCAAAAAAUCACCAAAACAUAAAUUUAAUUUCAGUUUCCCUUCAGGGCUUCCAUACAGCUUGGAGAUUGUUCUAUUUUGUUUUUCAUCGAGAACUUUCUGUUGGACGUUGAUUCCACCUUUUACUCUUUAACUGGACCUGAUGCACAACACGACCUUCAGUGUCUUUCAGGAUUUUUUUUUCCCAGGUAAAUUUCUUUAUAUACAUAUUUUACUUUUACUUUUAAAUUGUAAUUUUUUUAACCAGUUUUUAUAGAAAUAAAAAAAAAUUCACUCUCCUUCCAGGGCUUCCGUACCCACUGGAGAUUGUUUUAUUUUGACUUUUCUUCACUCGAGAACUCUCUGCAGGUUGUUUUUCGAUCUUUUACUGAACCUGAGGAGACUUGAGCGUCUUCCAGGAUAUUUUAGAUUUUUGAUUAAAUCAGGUGCUAUUUUUGUUUUCAUUUUAUUGAGCUGCUGGACAAAUACAACAGGAAUGCACACAGUCUGGAUUUGUUACCAUUUCUGUAGCAACAAACUUCAUUUCAUUCGACUUCAUGAUUUUCCUUUUUCUUUCUGUACUAGUUUCUGAUUAAAAUUCAUAUUUCAGAUGA